rnacentral:misc_RNA from 1 species
ACAGUUCAAGGGCUACCCAAAGAAUUCAGCUACGAGAAGAUCCUCAAGGCUUUGAAGAAGGAAUUCUGUUGUAAUGGGAAUGUUGUACAUGACAAAGAGCUUGGCGAGGUAAUCCAGCUCCAAGGAGAUCAACGAAAAAACGUUCAGAGUUUCCUUAUUAACGCUGACCUUGUGAAGAAGGAACAUAUCAAGAUACACGGUUUUUAGAUCUUCUGUGGCUUUAUGAUCUCAGCUGCUAUUGAUGUAUGUUUAUGGUCUAGGGACCCCUAAAAGGUAUUUAUAAUUUGUUACGAUUGAGUUGGCUUGAACUUGCUUUCUCUUUUCAGCUUCUUGUACUUUAAUCUUUAAAUAAUGGGAACUGCAGCGAGAUGUAAUUCUGAACAAGCAGUGAUGGUAAUUGAUGUUGCUGAUUAAAUCAACA